UCCCCGAUAGCUCAAUGGUAGAGCACCUGACUGUUAAUCAGGUUGUUGCUGGUUCGAGUCCAGCUCGGGGAG
rfam:Candidate division WOR-1 bacterium RIFOXYC2_FTLL_46_14 rifoxyc2_full_scaffold_27, whole genome shotgun sequence.